UAGGUCAAAUUUGCGACGGACGGGAGCUGGCGGAGUUGGACCGCUGGGACAGAGCGGAAAGGGGCGCUGAAUGGAGGCGGGUGCGUCCUGGGCGGCGACGAAAGCGGCCACCGCCGUGGCUGCCGACGAGGUUUUCCUGGUAGAUCCGGUGUGCAGGUUGCCCAUCUUUCCCGGCGGCGGCGUGGCGUCGAGUGGGUCCGUCUAGGAUGAGAUUAGCGAGGGGGCCGGCUGGCGCCGUGCUGGGGUACCUGGUUCUUCUGUUGCUGGUCAAGAUAACUGCGGCCAGCCACCGGACGAAGGCAGCAGCGAUAGCGCUCCAGCGGAGUCCGGUCAGUCAGCAAUAAAGCCUGAUCCAAAGGCAGCCGGCUGGAUAAGAAGGGUCCGUGUGGGCGCAAAUCCGAUAGAGCGAACACCAUGCCCAGGAAGGAUGGGGGGCGCUAGAGAAGACAAUCAGGGGUUUUGCAGACGGAGAGGAGGUUGUGAAGCCAGAAUUGGGUACAACCUUCGACUCGUUGACAGAGGCUUACGAUUUUUACAAUUUAUAUUCGUGGGAGCAUGGUUUUGGGAUUAGAUACGGGAAAAGUCGGCUGAAUCCAGACAAAAGGAAGUCCAUGCAGGAGAUCGUGUGUGGAUGCUCGGUACAAGCACUAGCCAUUAUGUGAUCGUCUGUGGGUAGAAUUAAUAUGCUUUUCCACUAAAGGAACUGAUCUAUUUUUUUUAAAUGAUGUGGAACAGGGGAAGCCCUUGCAUGGGAACACACGGUCCUGAGUGUCCGGCAAUGAUUAGGCUUUUGAGGGCAUCAGAUAAUGGCUGGUACAUAACAGAGUAUCAAGUGAAGCAUAACCAGGUGAUGACCCCUAAUUUUGGUGAGAUGUUGCACUGACAGUCGCACAGGCACAUUGAUGCAUACACUAGAGAUCUGGUUUGCAACCUGCGGAAGAACAACAUCAACAUCAGCAAGGUGUACACCAUAAUUGGUGGGUUCUUUGGCACGGUUGAAAAUGCGCCUUUCACGAAAAGAUCGCUUUGGAACUUGUGUGGUCAAAUAAGUCGGGGCGAGGCAGAUGACGAUGUGAGGAAAACAAUCGAAGUUUUCGAUGAGCUGGGCGCGAAGGACCCUGAAUUCCUGUUCAGGGUGCAGCCUAAUGGAGAAAGUAAGAUAAGGAAUUUGAUGUGGGCAACAGGGGAUAGCAAGCUGAAGUACAAGUUUUUCGGUGAUUUUGUGACAUUCGACACCACAUAUCGGACGAACUUGUGCAACAUGCCAUUUGGACUGUUUGUAGGGGUUAAGAACCAUUUCCAGAGCAUAUUGCUGGCGGGGGUGCUGAUCAGAGAUGAGCAGGUGGAAAGCUUUGAGUGGGUAUUCACGGAGUUUGUGAGGAUGAUGGGCGGUGUGGCCCCAAGAACAAUACUGAUAGACCAGUGCGGAGUGAUGGAGAUAGCCAUCAAGAAGACCCUUCUGGAUACGGUCCAUCGUUGGUGCAAAUUGCAUGUCGUGAAGAAAGCAAAAGAAAGUCUGGGAGCGCUAUAUGGCAAGAGGAAUGAAUUCAGGCAGGAUUUGCAGGGUGGUGUUGUAGUACGAACCAACUCAUCUAUUGAACUGGAUGCAAGCAAGAUGUACGCUAGGUCCAUGCUUGAGCAAUUUCAGCUGAUUCUUUACGAGGCUGGUAGGUACCGAGUGCAGGAAUUAGAAAAAGAUGCAUUGUACAAAGAGAUACACACUAGGCCUGAUAAACGGGAGAAAUGGAGCAGAGUUGUUUUCCUGGUGAGAAUGCAUGACAAUGGUGAACACUUUGAGUGCGAGUGUGGGCUGUCUGAACACAUGCCCAUGUACUGAAGGUGAUGGAUUAUCUUGGGAUGACUGAGAUACCAAAAAUGCAUAUAGUAAAAAGAUGGACAAAAGAGGCUCGUGACAUACUACCAGAACACCUGCAACACUACCAGCGAGAUAACAUUGGUGCGACCACAUUGACAUUCAGGCAUAACCAAAUGUAUGUUCAGGCGCUGGAGUUGGUGAGGCUAGGGGAUGCUAGUGUGAAAGCUUACGAAACACUGAUGGUUCUGUUCAAUCAAGCACCGGUCCUGAUGGCACCAUUUGAUAUGGCGAGAGAUGGCCUAGGACUUGAAGAUUGCGUGAACAGCAAUGGUCAGCGAAAUGGAGACGAGGUUAAGUUCAGUGCAUUGAAGAUCAGGAAGACAAGAUUUCUGGGCACGACAAUUCGCUUGUCGAGUUGGCGCCUCCCGGUAAGAAGAGAAAGGCAGGGAGGCCGACGAACGGUAGAGACAAAGCUCCGUACGAGGGGAUGACGAAGAGGAGUCGGUUCUGCAGCAUCUGCAAGACUAAGGGGCACAAGCGCACGACUUGCCCGCAACGAGGUGAUGCCCCAAAAAUGCCUAGAAAAGAAGCAAAGUGCAGCAACUGCAAUAGGAAGAACACAUGCGGCAGAGCUGCUGGCCAAGGUGUUGACGGUGAUGCGGUGUAGAUUUAACCCAGAAAUUCUGUUGUAACAAAACUUGUAAAAAUGUUGCUUUGUGUUCCUAGCCAAUAAGUUGGCCAGCUCGCCGGUGGACAUAAA